GAAACAGGCUGCAAAACCGCAGGAUGAAAGCAACUAGAAGCGUGGGUUUGGAAGAGGCAGACCCGUUGAGGCCAUCUUCCUGAGGUCUGGAAGCAAGGAAGGACUUGGCAGCAGAAUUUGAAAGCUCAAGAGAGCUUCGGAACAGCAGCUCCACAGCCCCAUUUCCAGAUUUGACUUAUGUUAUGUUCGAAUGAAAUGUCUUGCUUCCUGAGUGCUGCUUUGCCCUCCCUUCACCACAGUAGCCACUCUUCUUCCAAAGCCAUCAAGGAGAAUUUGCUUGGUGGUCAAAUAGGCAUGAAGGUCUGGCGUUGCACAGCAUUUUUCAGCAAGAUGGUUGUGUGCAGAAAGCCCUCAGACAACUACCGGAAGGAAGAAACUGAAAAUAAAUACCAUCCAUUGGAAGCUUUGGAUUAUUUGCUUCUGUCUGUUGGGAAUCGACGUAUAAAAUGAAUUGGGAUGCACAGGUACCUUCGAAGGCCUUGCUUCAGAGCAAGGCUGUGUGACAGUUGUGACAGAGAGCUCAAAGACAUAAAAUUCCACCUGAACUCCUCUAUCUAGAGUUUCCUCUCAUGGACAGAUCACAUUGGUCAGACUAAAUGCUGACAAAUACUCAGAUAGAAACCCCAAAAAUACACCUCGAGGACUGGGCGUGUGGCUCAGUGGUAGAGUGUUAACCCAGCAUGUACAGCCCUGGGCUCAGUCCUCAGCACUGGAAAAGAAAAGAGUUGACUUGGGAGGUAAAGAAGUACAUAUUGGAUGGAAGUGUUUUCAGCUGGAUGGCUGGACUGCAGCAGCUUUCCUGGGACUGAGGGGUGAGCUGACAGCCUGCUACGGAGAAGGAAAGAAAGCCAGAGGUAAAGGUAGGAAUUGAAGGAGGGAUGA
rnacentral:lncRNA from 1 species